rnacentral:rRNA from 1 species
GAUGAACGCUAGCUACAGGCCUAACACAUGCAAGUCGAGGGGCAUCGGGAGGGAAGCUUGCUUCCCUUGCCGGCGACCGGCGCACGGGUGAGUAACGCGUAUCCAACCUGCCCACCACUUGGGGAUAACCUUGCGAAAGUAAGACUAAUACCCGAUGAUAUCCCUAGAAGACAUCUGAAAGGGAUUAAAGAUUUAUCGGUGAUGGAUGGGGAUGCGUCUGAUUAGCUUGUUGGCGGGGUAACGGCCCACCAAGGCAACGAUCAGUAGGGGUUCUGAGAGGAAGGUCCCCCACAUUGGAACUGAGACACGGUCCAAACUCCUACGGGAGGCAGCAGUGAGGAAUAUUGGUCAAUGGACGGAAGUCUGAACCAGCCAAGUAGCGUGCAGGAUGACGGCCCUAUGGGUUGUAAACUGCUUUUAUGUGGAAUAAGUCAGGGACGUGUCCCUGUUUGCAUGUACCACAGGAAUAAGGACCGGCUAAUUCCGUG